GAGUAAAGCAGCAAACAAACAAACAAACAAACAAAAUUUAAUACAAUGAAUUCCUUACAUCUGUAGCUGAGAAUAUUUUCCUGCAUCUGUUGUAUUCAUUUCAGCAGCUAUUUAUCUGAAUGUAGAAGGAAAUUGUAAGUCCUUCAGGAGUUGUGGUAUAGCACUCUGCAUCUCCUGGAAGGAGCACCUGUCCUGUGCUGGACCUGCCAAGGGUUGUCUGGGCCUGCCAUGGGAACAAUGGAAUGCAAAGUGUGG
rnacentral:lncRNA from 1 species